rnacentral:rRNA from 1 species
CUACGGGGGGCUGCAGUGGGGGAUAUUGCACAAUGGAGGGAACUCUGAUGCAGCGACGCCGCGUGAACGAAGAAGGUCUUCGGAUUGUAAAGUUCUGUCCUUGGUGAAGAUAAUGACGGUAAUCAAGGAGGAAGCCCCGGCUAACUACGUGCCAGCAGCCGCGGUAAUACGUAGGGGGCAAGCGUUGUCCGGAAUUAUUGGGCGUAAAGGGUACGUAGGCGGAUCAUUAAGUCUAUUGUGAAAGCCAGGGGCUCAACCCCUGUAAGCAGUAGAAACUGGUGACCUUGAGUGAUAGAGGGGACAGUGGAAUUCCUAGUGUAGCGGUGAAAUGCGUAGAGAUUAGGAGGAAUACCGGUGGCGAAGGCGACUGUCUGGAUAUCAACUGACGCUGAGGUACGAAAGCGUGGGGAGCAAACAGGAUUAGAUACCCUAGUAGUC